rnacentral:rRNA from 1 species
AACGAACGCUGGCGGCGCGCCUAAUACAUGCAAGUCGAGCGAGAAGACGUAGCAAUACGUUUGUAAAGCGGCGAACGGGUGAGGAAUACAUGGGUAACCUACCCUCGAGUGGGGAAUAACUAGCCGAAAGGUUAGCUAAUACCGCGUACGCUCCUUGGACUUCGGUUCAGGGAGGAAAGCGAUACCGUGGGUAUCGCGCUCUUGGAUGGGCUCAUGUCCUAUCAGCUUGUUGGUGAGGUAACGGCUCACCAAGGCUUCGACGGGUAGCUGGUCUGAGAGGACGAUCAGCCACACUGGCACUGCGACACGGGCCAGACUCCUACGGGAGGCAGCAGUAAGGAAUAUUGCGCAAUGGGCGAAAGCCUGACGCAGCGACGCCGCGUGGGGGGA